AUGGCGUCGUCGGAGGCCGACCGGGUUCGCCGGCUGACGCUUGAGGCGGGCGGGGGCGUGGACAGGGACAAGCCGGACUCCAAGCGGGACGUGUUCGCGGAUCUCGGCUCGCCGGUCUCGCCGCUGCGGCUGCGGGCCACGCCGUCGUCCUCGUCCUCGUCCGCCGGGUCGGCCAAGUCGCCGGCUCUGUGCAAUGCGGCGGCGGGCGGCGGGAGGGGCGGCGGCGCUCGGAGCGUGAGCGGGAGGGGGAGCCACUCGGGCGAGCUGGCGGCGGAGAGCGGCAGCGGCAGCGCCAGCAGCAACCCGCCGCGGCCGCCCGGGCACCGGCGCUCCGGAUCUGGGCCGCUGAUUUUCUCCGGCGGGAGCGGCAGCUCGGGGGGCGGUGGCGGCGGGAGCACGGCGAGCUCGCCGCUCACCAAUGCGCUCCCCACCGGCAACAUCUGCUCGUCCGGCCGCGUCGCGCCGGCGCCCGCCGCGCCCCGGCCGCGCGCGCGCCCGGACGUGCUCGGAUCCGGCACCGGCCACUACGGCCACGGCAGCAUCAUGCGGGGCGGCAUGGCCCCCGCGAGGAGCGGCGGCAUUGACGCCGCGCCGCUCGCCGGCAGAUCCUCGAGGUCCCCGGCGAGCUUCCCGGCGCCGCCGGACAGCCUGCAGGAGGUCACCCGGGCCGGGAACGAGCUGUACAAGCAGGGCCGGUACGGCGACGCGCUGCGGCACUACGACCGCGCCCUGGCGCUCUGCCCGGACAGCGCCGCGUGCCGCGGCAACCGCGCCGCCGCGCUCACCGGGCUCGGCCGCCUCGCCGAGGCCCUCCGCGACUGCGAGGAGGCCGUCCGGCUCGACCCGGCCAGCGGCCGCGCCCACGGCCGCCUCGCCGCGCUCUGCCUCCGGUUUGGGAUGGUUGAGAAGGCAAGGAGGCAGCUUACGCUGGCCGGGAACGCGAACCUGUCCGACCCUGCCGAGUGGCAGAAACUUUAUGAGGUGGAGAGCCAUCUGGGGAAAUGCAUGGACGCGAGGAGGAUCGGAGACUGGAAGAGCGCGCUGAGGGAAGCAGACGCCGCCAUUGCCAACGGAGCAGACUCCUCUCAGCUGCUCCUUGCCAUGAGGUCCGAAGCGCUUCUCCGGCUUAACAAACUAGAGGAGGCCGAUUCGACUAUUACGGGUUUGCUGAAAUUGGACAGUGCAUCCCUAUCUUCAAUGUCCACCAAACUGUCAGGCAUGGUAGCUGAUUCAUAUGUACAUGUUGUACAAGCCCAGGUCAACAUGGCAUUUGGGAGGUUUGAUGCAGCUAUUGGCAUUGCUGAGAAGGCUAGAGCUAUUGAUCCUGCAAAUGCAGAGGUUGGAUUGAUCCUGAAUAACAUGAGGCUAGUAGCACGGGCUCGAGCUCAGGGGAAUGACCUUUUUAAGGCGGGCAAGUUUGCCGAGGCAUCUAUCGCCUAUGGUGAAGGGCUCAAGCAUGAGUCCUCAAAUCCAGUGUUGUACUGCAAUAGAGCAGCUUGCUGGUCCAAGUUAGGUCGGUGGGCGAAAGCCGUUGAGGAUUGCAAUGAGGCGCUGAGGAUCCAACCUAGCUACACAAAAGCUCUCUUAAGGCGGGCAGCGUCCUAUGCAAAGCUUGAGCGUUGGGCUGAUUGUGUGCGAGACUAUGAGGUGCUUCGCAAGGAGCUUCCUGGCGACACGGAGGUUGCGGAGUCAUUGUUCCAUGCCCAAGUCGCGCUGAAGACAACCCGUGGUGAGGAGGUAUCAAAUAUGAAGUUUGGUGGAGAGGUUGAGAUAGUUACCAGCAUAGAGCAAGUCCGAGCUGCUAUACAUUCGCCCGGGGUGACUGUUCUUUACUUCAUGGCAACAAUGAAUCAGCAGUGUGCACAGAUUACCCCAUCAGUGGAUGCUCUUUGUUCCGAGUGCCCUUCGGUGAAUUUUCUGAAGGUAAAUGUUGAUGAGAGCCCAAUGAUAGCAAAGGCAGAGAAUGUGCGCGUAGUCCCGACAUUCAAGAUAUACAAGGAUGGCGCACGGGUGAAAGAGAUGAUCUGCCCUAGCUUACACGUUUUACGCUAUUCAGUGAGGCACUAUGCUGUCUCCAAUUCUUGA
rnacentral:rRNA from 1 species